GAUGAACGCUGGCGGCGUGCCUAAUACAUGCAAGUCGAACGCUGAAGCUUGGUGCUUGCACCGAGCGGAUGAGUUGCGAACGGGUGAGUAACGCGUAGGUAACCUGCCUCUUAGCGGGGGAUAACUAUUGGAAACGAUAGCUAAUACCGCAUAAAAGUCGAUAUCGCAUGAUAUUGAUUUGAAAGGUGCAAAUGCAUCACUAAGAGAUGGACCUGCGUUGUAUUAGCUAGUUGGUGAGGUAACGGCUCACCAAGGCGACGAUACAUAGCCGACCUGAGAGGGAGAUCAGCCACACUGGGACUGGGACACGGCCCAGACUCCUACGGGAGGCAGCAGUAGGGGAUCUUCGGCAAUGGGAGCAACCCUGACCGAGCAACGCCGCGUGAGUGAAGAAGGUUUUCGGAUCGUAAAGCUCUGUUGUAAGAGAAGAGCGAGUGUGAGAGUGGAAAGUUCACACUGUGACGGUAACUUAACAGAAAGGGACGGCUAACUACGUG
rnacentral:rRNA from 1 species